AAAAAAAAAAAAAAAAAAGAGGAUGUCUUUUUGAUUAUUCAACAUUUCAGCACGUCUUUUUCAUGUUGAAAGAGUUAGGGAUAUUUGAAAAUUUUUUAUUCGUUGUAUGCAACAAAAAAGAGCUUGUCACUUUAGCACAAUUAAAAAAGAAUUAAGGCAUUGCUAAUCUCAAGUUAUUCUGAAAUAUCUUGAAAAUAAAAUUUGAAGAACGAGAUUUGGAAGUAGGUUAGGACUUGGAAUUCAUUUCCGACAUUCAUUUGUGAUCAUGAGUUAUUCAAAGUAUGAGAUAGAAUUGGGUUAAAAAAUCUGAUUGUAAAAUGCAUAUAUAAUUGGAAUUACUCUCUUUGUGCCUCCACAGAAGAAAAUGGUUGGGGGGUGGGGGCUUGAGAAUUUUAGUCUUGGCGGGGUGCAACAUUCUUUGCUUAGAAAUGUCAAAUCUCAAAUCUCCUGCACCAUUUUCUAGUUAAUAUUUCAUUUUUAUACCUUUUUAGUGCGUACUCCUUACACUUACUCAUUCUCCUUGUAAUUUUUCCCUUUUGGUUUGCAU
rnacentral:misc_RNA from 1 species